AUUGAACGCUGGCGGCAUGCUUUACACAUGCAAGUCGAACGGUAACAGGCCUUCGGGUGCUGACGAGUGGCGAACGGGUGAGUAAUGCAUCGGAACGUACCCAGAGGUGGGGGAUAACGCAGCGAAAGCUGUGCUAAUACCGCAUGUGAUCUGAGGAUGAAAGCGGGGGACCGAGCAGCAAUGUUUGGCCUCGCGCCUUUGGAGCGGCCGAUGUCGGAUUAGCUAGUUGGUGGGGUAAAGGCCUACCAAGGCGACGAUCCGUAGCUGGUCUGAGAGGACGACCAGCCACAUGGGGACUGAGACACGGCCCAGACUCCUACGGGAGGCAGCAGUGGGGAAUUUUGGACAAUGGGCGCGAGCCUGAUCCAGCAAUGCCGCGUGCGGGAAGAAGGCCUUCGGGUUGUAAACCGCUUUUGGCAGGAACGAAACGGUGUCCGCUAAUACCGGGCGCUAAUGACGGUACCUGCAGAAUAAGCACCGGCUAACUACGUG
rnacentral:rRNA from 1 species